GCCCGGGGAGGGGCACGGGCGGCGGCGGCGGCGGCGGCGUCUGCCCCUGCCCCUGCCCCUGCCCCUGCCCCGGGAGAACGUCCCGCCUUACGCGCGCUCACACCGAAGCCCUUUGAACCUGCAGGGGGACAAGAAGUUGGCCUUUCCUUCCUGGGCCACCUGCAGGAAACUCACGGCACCUGUAGUGUCUCGUUUGUUUGGUUUGACCUUACUGGCUUCCGUGCGGCAGACCGCAGCCUGGACCUAGCCGCCUGGCCGCGAAGCUCCCUCCGAUUUGGGCCUUACGCGUGGUGCGGCAGCCGGGAAGCCGGGAAGCCGGAGAAGGCCCCUCGGAGGACACUGGCCUUGCAGAAGGAAACGCCAGCCUCCAGUGACGCGCUGGGCCUUUGUUGGAGGCCUCUCCUGCACCAGGCGCUGACUGGGCUCUGGGACACAUCCGUGAAUAAAACGGGGAUCCCCAUCCUCCUGGCGCCUACGUCGGGUGGGUAGAGCAGACAACAUGCGGGUUAAAAGAGAAGUUCUUCGGGACGUUAGAAAAGGGAUAAGUGGCAUGAAAAACGAAGUAGAGACGGAAAGCAUUCAGGAAGUGGGGAGGACUCGGAGUAGGGGGAAAGGCAAGCUAGGACCUGCUGGGAAGGUGGGAAUCAGCCAACCUAAAAGAGGACAGUUAGCUGUGGGCGACUAGGCUGCGCCCCAGGCAGGAGGAAAAGCUAGAGCCAAGCAAGGCCCUGCACCUGUUACGUGUUGGUGCCGGAGCAGGGCCGGCGGGUGUGGUGGGAGCAGAGCGAACAAGGCAGGAGGCCGGAGAUGGGGUUCAUGUGAUGGAGGGACGAGGAAGAUCACAUAGGGUCUUGUAGGACACAAAGAACUGCUUUUUAUUUUGAGUGAAGUCAGUGACCACCACAGGGUUUUGAACAGAAAAGUACGACUUGACGCUUUAAAAAGACUAUACCGAUUAGGAGGCUACUGCAGUAGUGAGGAGGUAUAUGAUGGAGCCUGGAACCAGGAUGGUGCGAGUCCAUUCGGUGAGAAGGAGGAGAAGCCCAGGUCUCUCUUCAAGGUAGAGUCGAUUGAGUUGGAUGGAUUCGAUACGGGAUGUGAGAGAAAGCAAACCAUGAAGGAUGAUACCAAUCUCAUGAAUUAAACAUGUAAGAAAUUUAAAACUAUGCCCAGUACUAUAAUAUUCUCAUUAACUCCAGUGACUACAGUGGUGACUGCGCAUACCAGUUUCAGCAUCCAAAAUGAUGCAUUUUUUAAAUUACACAUUUGUGGAUGUUCACCAAAUGAGUCAAGUAUUGAAAGAGUUUGCAGUCUAGUUGGGAUAUAAGACAAAUAAGUACAUCAGAUAUUCACACUGCAAGAUGGCAUAUUUUGAAAGUAACAAGUUCUGUAAUGCAUAUGACAGGAGCCCCCGAGUUGAACCCAACAGGUAAAUGCUAGAAUGAGGACAGGUUUGAAAGAUUGACAGCAAUGAGCAGCGGGAACAGUUGGACCUCACAAAGGUAGCAAGAUAGGAGGAGUUCAGAGCAUGUCACCUCAAAAUACGCUGCUUCGACAUACUGAUUAUUUUGUACUAAAUGCACCUGAGAAGCAGUAGAUGUAGGAAGGGCACUCUGACCCUCCUUUUUUUAAUUCCUGAAAGCAGGGAAUAAAACUCCCUUAUAGUAGGUCCCCUCCCUGAACCUGGAAUAAAGAAGAUAUUCUUAUUGCUGGAAAAAAGGAAUUGAGGAAUGGAUGUGAUAAUGACCUAAACAUUUAUUCCUGAGGGGUCAUAGACUUGAGUCAUCAUACCCUUCUUAGUCUGCAGUUACUGCAUGUGUCCAUUCACAGUUACCAUUGGGCAAGGGCAUCCCAAGGGGCAUCCAAGUGGAUGACCUGGGCUCCAUAUGUAUUCUUUCUCUCUACUGUGUGAAAGGAGCCCCAUCUCUUUUCACUAAUGAGUCAAUUAUCCUUGGUUGCUGGCCCCUAGGUGCAAAGGGUUAAAAGUCCCCUAUUACAAAAUAUCUCAUAUUUCAGUAGAUCACUAUUGUGCCCCCUGGCAAGAAAGAAAACCUCGAGGACUAGGAUUUCUAACUCUGCUCAGCCCAGAGUUGUGGGAGGUGAAGCAGAGUGUUCCCCGUGGGUUAUUGGGAGUGAUUGUAAAUGAGACCAUCCGGCUUUCACCACUUGGUUGCCAGAUCCAUAUAUUUUUCCUAUUAGAAACAUAGUGCCAUACAGAGAUCUCUGAUUUAGUGCCUAUGCUAUAUACGGAGGGAUUAUGCACCAUCAUUGUCGAGUAUUGUCUUUGAACAGCUGAUUUAGCUGAUAUACUUUAGUACCCUUUCCAGUACUGUAUGACGGUAGUUUCAUAGUACACGGUUGCAGUAGUACAGUUUAUGAUGUAACAAUUGGAUCUCAUAGAUAUGGGGCCACUUCUAUACUUCAUUCUCUGUGAAUUUGGUAUUUUUAUGAAUGUUGUGCUAUAUAGGAUUCUGUGCCUAUAGAGUUAGCACUUCUAGCCCAGGUUUGGGAGACCAGAAAAGCCAGUUCGCAUCCCUUCUGUGUUCAAUCCGGGAGGCAUGGAGUGCUGUGAACUCCACAGUGGAUCUGAAAGUAUGGCAGUUGAAAGGUGUCAGUCAUGUGUGCUUCCCGCAGGCAGGUGUUUUUGCAAGGGUAUCUGAGUGGUUCACCCCCAUGGCCACCACACUGAUACAAAAUGACUUUCACAGAAUCACAUGAUGAGGAGCAGGAAUGUUUACCCUACCUGUUUCACAUUGUGUCCUGUUGGAGUUAGAAAGGUAGAAUGAAGAGUUCUUUAAAACUUAGAAUAGUAUUUGAAGGAGAGUCAAUCUGAGGUUGUAAAAAAUCUAAAUAAUAAACAAUAGUAUUUUAAAAGAAAUGCUUUCAUUAAAUCAAAACAAAUAUAUUCAUCCUGAAUAUAGUAGCAUACUAAUACUGAAUCCUGACAGUGUCUUUAAGAGGACUCAUAAGUUAAUAGGGAAAACUUAUUUUUGAUUAGUAAUAUCCAUUUGCCUAGAAGUAUUUUGCUCAAACUUCAAGAAAAGUUGGUUUAGCAAAACCUCUAUAUGCAGAGUGUUAUAUAUGGAUAAUAUAAAGGUUACUGCAGCCCAGUCAAUGUUAACAAGUUAAUAGAUUUUAUAUCCAUAUGAAGUGAUUCCUUUUAUUGUAUCCUGAAAUGACUUGCCCAACAUAUACAUUUUAAAGGCAUUGUGAGGGGAUCCCUGGGUGGCUCAGCGCCUUGGCGCCUGCCUUUGGACCAAGGCGUGAUCCUGGAGUCUCAGGAUCGAGUCCCGCGUCAGGCUCCAGGAGCCUGCUUUUCUCCCUCUGACUGUGUCUCUGCCUCUCUCUCUCUCUCUCUCUUUCUCUCUCUCUCUGUCUUUCAUUAAAAAA
rnacentral:lncRNA from 1 species